rnacentral:rRNA from 1 species
CCUACGGGAGGCAGCAGUGGGGAAUAUUGGACAAUGGGCGAAAGCCUGAUCCAGCAAUGCCGCGUGAGUGAUGAAGGCCUUCGGGUCGUAAAGCUCUUUUACCAGGGAUGAUAAUGACAGUACCUGGAGAAUAAGCUCCGGCUAACUCCGUGCCAGCAGCCGCGGUAAUACGGAGGGAGCUAGCGUUGUUCGGAAUUACUGGGCGUAAAGAGUACGUAGGCGGUUAUUCAAGUCAGAGGUGAAAGCCCGGGGCUCAACCCCGGAACUGCCUUUGAAACUAGAUAACUAGAGUCUUGGAGAGGUUAGUGGAAUUCCGAGUGUAGAGGUGAAAUUCGUAGAUAUUCGGAAGAACACCAGUGGNGAG